GACGGAGGAUGCAAGCGUUAUCCGGAAUGCUUGGGCGUAAAGCGUCCGCAGGUGGCAGUUCAAGUCUGCUGUCAAAGACCGGGGCUUAACUUCGGAAAGGCAGUGGAAACUGAACAGCUAGAGUAUGGUAGGGGCAGAGGGAAUUCCUGGUGUAGCGGUGAAAUGCGUAGAGAUCAGGAAGAACAUCGGUGGCGAAGGCGGGUCUCUGGGCCGAUACUGACGCUGAGGAGCGAAAGCGUGGGGAGCGAACAGG
rnacentral:rRNA from 1 species